CAGUCUUGCCGCCUGAAAUAGUCCUUCCAAACCUUUUCUCGAAGAUCCUAUAACUUGUCAACUGUGGUGGCUGGUAGAGACACCUCACGGCUGGUUUCCCACUAUUGUUUUGUCCCACAGGAAUGUUGAUGGGGCUUCAUGCGAAUGAGAUUUGUACCCAUCUGCCUUGGUCCUGGAACUAAAGUAGUUUGGGGCAGAAGAAAGUAGAUUUCCUAACAGAGCCCUAUCAGUCAGAAGCAAGAAGCAUCCCUUCUUAAGAUGCACAGUUCCCAGUCAGCUCGCACGAGUCAUCAUCCUUUGUUGUGUUAUCACCCCUCUGAGACUGGAUCCAGGGAGUGUUGGACUUAACUCUUCGGAAUCGCUGGAGAAAGCCCGAGCUUCUGCUCCAGCUGGGUCAACAUGCAUGCAGUUUGGGCUAGAUGUGGCAAUUGGAUGCAGUGGCUAUUGGGAGAUGCAGGGAUAUGUCUGCUGUGGAGUUCUUGGGAGUUCUUUUGCUUUCCCAGUACUGUUGUUGUCACAAUGACCUUCAAGGCCAGAUGAUGAGAUACUGUGGCUGGAUCUUUAUAUUCCUCGCAGCUGAAUGAAACCCUAGUGAACACAGAUGGAAUGUGUAGAAACUCCGAUCCCUUCUAAUUAAAGAAACUUGUGGUGAUUCAUUCCAGCGGCCUCAUGAAGGAAGUACACACCCUCAUGGUGUUAUUGAGAGGAUUAAAUACGAUAAUGCGUGUAACACAUUUUGCAGAGUCUUUGGUGUUAACAGAGCAAGUUCUCAGCCAGAGACCCAUGAAACCCAGGAAAGGGUGUCAACUUAGAUGGGAACAAGUCAACCUUUGUCAAAUGCUUCCAAGUGGUGAAUUCAUCUGUAAAGAUACCCAGCCUCCCAGGAAAUGUGCUGUUUUAGCCUGAAUAGGCAAAAGACAACACACAGGGUGAAAACAAGCCAUUUCUGGCCUUGAUUUGCUUUGUCUUUUAAUGAUUAUUUCCAGAAAAUCUUCAUACUCCCCUAAGAUGGUCAAAGGUGUAUGUCGUGAAGACAGCCUGUUUGCUGAAGGAUGUGGCAGAUUCCUCCAGUUCAUUGACUCCAAUCUUGUCACCCACUGGAAAAUGAAGGACCCGUUCACAUGCCUUCAUUCAUUUAGCAAAAAUGUUUUGAAAACCUACUGUGUUCCAGGCAUGGUGCUAGGCACUGGAGAAACAGGGCUGAACACAGUGCACGUGGGUUAUCUGGAGUUUGAUUGUGAGUGAGAAUGACAACAUUAACCACACGGCAACACAACACUGACAAGUUGCACCUGUGCUACAAAGGGCACCGAGUACUAAGAGUGUUUCCGAUGGAGAUUUCUCUGGCAGAGACAGUGAGAGCUCAGUUCAGGAGACAUCCAGGCAUCAGCUGAACCAAAGGAAGGGGAACACAUUAGAUUCAGAGACCAUAGUGUGUGCAGAGGCCCAAAAGUGGGAAACAAUAUGGCAUGUAGGAGGAAGCCAGUGUGAUAGAAGCAAGGAAAGAGAAGAGUUUGGGGUGAGGCUGAAGGCGUAAUGGGGGCCAAAAUGGAGGUCUCGUUGGCCACUAUAGGGUUACACCGUAUUUGGGGAACAUUACCUCCCCAGUCACCCUCUCCUGGUGGUGCACUGGUAUGGACCUUCGCCAGUGGGCUCCCCAGGCCCGUUCAGUUCCCGUGCCAGCCUUGCCAAGGUAGGACCAUUAGAAAGUUGAGCCACCCCGUAGCUCGUAGUGGAAGCCAGCUCAAUACCAGCCUGGAACGCAGAGUCUGGAGAGCGUGCUCUCAAGCCCGUUCUAGGUCUCCAUUUGGCCCAGCUCAUGCAUAAGGGUUUGCCUCCGCUUCCCUGUAGGUGUAGGUCUCUAUUCUGUACUCAGCAAGGCUCGCUCUGGCCUCGAACUCCCCUCUGCCUCUAGUUUGUUCACUUACUCGACACGUAGCCUGUGCCAGGUACUGGGCUAGGCCCCGGGGAUGCCGUGCCGGAGUGCGCCUCUUGCUCUAGAGAAGCUUCAGGUCCAGCGUGUGGGGGCAGGCAAUAGCUUGGAGCCCCUGCAAGCAGCAGUCACCUUCCCUUUUGCCCUUUGCACGGACCUCCUGCUGUCCCCCUCCGCGGACUGCCACCACCUGCCUUCACUAAUCACGGGAGCUUGUAGUGGACUGCUGUAGUCCUCCCCGUCACGGGCCACGGUUCCUUCCCACUCUGGUCCCAGCGCCACCCCCUGGCAUCUUGGCCGCCUGGCCGCAGCUUCAGGCCCGACUGGAGACACCAAAAGUAUCUUGCGGGGAUCUGCGACCCUGCGCCGUGACUCCAGGUGCCCAGAAAGGCCGUCUUCCUUGUUAUUUCCCUGCGGGCACGGGUCCUCUGAACGCAGCGUAAGUGCCUUCGAACGGCGGCAUAUUCCCGCUUGCCAGCAGUUAAUGAACUGUUACUGGGGAUGGUUAAUGCCCUGUGAAAUCAGUCAUUAAUUGUAGAAACAACUGAUUUCAGAGAGAUUGUGGCAAUUAUGAACCGUUUAAGAUGGCAGAGGCAUAAGAAAACAAACUGCCAUGUUGCCCGUUCGUCAUGAGGGAAAGAGUCUGCAACCUGACUUUGAAGUUGCCUCACAGGGAGUGGUCAAGGGCCACCGAGCGUCCUGCCACCACACUCUUAAAGCCCUGGCGACAAAAACAAGAAAGUUAGCAACCGCGUUCCUUUGGGAGAGAAAGUA